rnacentral:lncRNA from 1 species
GGCUCUCCGCCUAGAUCAGAGCACGUAUUUUCGUUUCAGCCUCUCAUUCUCACCCACUCACGCGCUCUCUAGCUCUCCCUUAUCUCCAUUCUUUUCUCCUCAUCGACUCUGCAUCUCGCGCUUAGGGUUUCACCGGCGGGAGGCGACUCCGGAGCGCGCCCAUCGCGCGCCACCGGCAAGGCGGUUGGGACCCGUACCAUCGCCAACAGAGCUCGCCAUGGCGGCGGCGACGGAGGGAGGCGGAGCUCCACACGGAUCUGCCUGCGCACUCGGUCCGGCCUCGCGGCGCGAUGGGCGACGACCGAUUCCCUUCGUGGGCGGCACAUCGGGGAGGAUGCGGCAACUCCGGCAGAAGCCUGCACCCAGCAGGGACCACCAGUGCCGGAGGUCUGUUUUGGCGUAUCUUAUGCUUCGCAAGCGCACAGAAUUCAGAGUCUCGCAGUAUUCUAGCGUAUUGUAAAUUUAUAUGGGGAAGCACCAUGAUCUAAAGAGUAUCGAUGAAUUGAGCGAUAAAUCUUAGUGGAAAUAUCAACCGACUAACUUAGUGGGGUAAGCCAGAAAUGAUAAGAUAGGAUAAAUGGCCAGGCAAUGUUCGUUUGACACAAGAGACUCU